rnacentral:rRNA from 1 species
GUGUGCCUACGGGGGGCAGCAGUGAGGAAUAUUGGUCAAUGGACGAGAGUCUGAACCAGCCAAGUAGCGUGAAGGAUGACUGCCCUAUGGGUUGUAAACUUCUUUUAUAUGGGAAUAAAGUUUUCCACGUGUGGAAUUUUGUAUGUACCAUAUGAAUAAGGAUCGGCUAACUCCGUGCCAGCAGCCGCGGUAAUACGGAGGAUCCGAGCGUUAUCCGGAUUUAUUGGGUUUAAAGGGAGCGUAGGUGGAUUGUUAAGUCAGUUGUGAAAGUUUGCGGCUCAACCGUAAAAUUGCAGUUGAAACUG